GCCGCCUGCACUCCGCAUCGGCCAGACUGAUUUCAGGAUGUUUAUGGGAUUCUAAAUACCACUCUCAGCUCACAAGAACGGAAUCAGCUGUGGCAAGCAGCUCAAAAAGAAGCUGAUCACAGACAGGUAAACACCGCUGAUAAUGACUCUAGGCCUAUAGCUGUGCCAGAGCAGGUCAAGCAUACUAACUAUAACAAACUUUUAAAACAGGUCCAGGAAGCUAAUCAAAACCCAGCUAUGUUCCUAAAUUGGCUUUCUAAUCCUCGAGCCCUGCAAGCAGUUCCAGCUUUGUGCACUGUGUCGGGCCGCCUCCCAGCCCCUCCCCCAUGCGCCGUCCCAGCCCCUCCCUCCUC
rnacentral:lncRNA from 1 species